UACGUAGGGUGCAAGCGUUGUCCGGAAUUAUUGGGCGUAAAGAGCUCGUAGGCGGUCUGUCACGUCGGCUGUGAAAUCCCGAGGCUCAACCUCGGGCCUGCAGUGGGUACGGGCAGACUAGAGUGCGGUAGGGGAGAAUGGAAUUCCCGGUGUAGCGGUGAAAUGCGCAGAUAUCGGGAGGAACACCGGUGACGAAGGCGGUUCUCUGGGCCUGACCUGACGCUGAGGAGCGAAAGCGUGGGGAGCGAACAGG
rnacentral:rRNA from 1 species